rnacentral:rRNA from 1 species
GGUUAAAAAGCUCGUAGUUGGAUUUCUGUUGAGGAUGACCGGUCCGCUCUUUGAGCGCGUAUCUGGUUCAGCCUUGGCAUCCCCUUGGGGAACGCUACUGUGCUUGAUUGCAUGGGGCGGUAUUCAAGACUUUUACUUUGAGGAAAUUAGAGUGUUCACUGCAAGCGUUGGCAAUUGAAUACAUUAGCAUGGAAUAAUAAUAUAGGACCUUGGUACUAUUUUGUUGGUUUCUAGAACUAAGGUAAUGAUUAAUAGGGACAAUUGGGGGCAUUCGUAUUAACGCGUCAGAGGUGGAAUUCUUAGAUUGCGUUACGACGAACUACUGCGAAAGCAUUUGCCAAGGAUGUUUUCAUUGAUCAAGAACGAAAGUAUGGGGAUCGAAGACGCUUAGAUACCGUCGUAGUCUAUACCAUAAACUAUGCCAACUAGAGAUUGGAGGUCGUUCUCUUUAUGACUCCUUCAGCACCUUAUGAGAAAUCAAAGUCUUUGGGUUCCGGGGGGAGUAUGGUCGCAAGGCUGAAACUUAAAGG